rnacentral:rRNA from 1 species
UGAACGCUGGCGGUAGGCCUAACACAUGCAAGUCGAACGGCAGCACAGGAGAGCUUGCUCUCUGGGUGGCGAGUGGCGGACGGGUGAGGAAUACAUCGGAAUCUACUUUUUCGUGGGGGAUAACGUAGGGAAACUUACGCUAAUACCGCAUACGACCUACGGGUGAAAGCAGGGGACCUUCGGGCCUUGCGCGAUUGAAUGAGCCGAUGUCGGAUUAGCUAGUUGGCGGGGUAAAGGCCCACCAAGGCGACGAUCCGUAGCUGGUCUGAGAGGAUGAUCAGCCACACUGGAACUGAGACACGGUCCAGACUCCUACGGGAGGCAGCAGUGGGGAAUAUUGGACAAUGGGCGCAAGCCUGAUCCAGCCAUACCGCGUGGGUGAAGAAGGCCUUCGGGUUGUAAAGCCCUUUUGUUGGGAAAGAAAUCCAGCUGGCUAAUACCCGGUUGGGAUGACGGUACCCAAAGAAUAAGCACCGGCUAACUUCGUGCCAGCAGCCGCGGUAAUACGAAGGGUGCAAGCGUUACUCGGAAUUACUGGGCGUAAAGCGUGCGUAGGUGGUCGUUUAAGUCCGUUGUGAAAGCCCUGGGCUCAACCUGGGAACUGCAGUGGAUACUGGGCGACUAGAGUGUGGUAGAGGGUAGCGGAAUUCCUGGUGUAGCAGUGAAAUGCGUAGAGAUCAGAGGAACAUCCAUGC